AUUGAACGCUGGCGGCAUGCCUUACACAUGCAAGUCGAACGGUAACGGGCCUUCGGGUGCCGCCGAGUGGCGGACGGGGGAGUAAUACAUCGGAACGUGCCCGAUCGUGGGGGAUAACGGGGCGAAAGCUUUGCUAAUACCCCAUACGAUCUACGGAGGACAACGGGGGACCGCAAGGCCUUGCCGGGCCGGAGCGGCCGAUGGCAGAUUAGGUAGUUGGUGGGAUAAAGGCUUACCAAGGCGACGAUCUGUAGCUGGUCUGAGAGGAUGAUCAGCCACACUGGAACUGAGACACGGCCCAGACUCCUACGGGAGGCAGCAGUGGGGAAUUUUGGACAAUGGGCGCAAGCCUGAUCCAGCCAUGCCGCGUGCAGGAUGAAGGCCUUCGGGUUGUAAACUGCUUUUGUACGGAAAGAAAAGCCUUCUUUUAAUACAGGGGGGUCAUGACGGUACCGUAAGAAUAAGCACCGGCUAACUACGUG
rnacentral:rRNA from 1 species